rnacentral:ncRNA from 1 species
AGGAGCCGUAUGUGGUGAAAAUCUCAUGUACGGUUCUGGAAUAGCGACGAUAGCAGUGAUGGUAUCGCAGACUAUGAU